rnacentral:misc_RNA from 1 species
ACAGUAUGCUUAUAAUCUCUCCCCUGCAUUAAAUCAAGUGAAGGCUUUAUAAACAACGGUUAAAGCAUCCUAAAGUGAGCAAGUUGUGACACCACAUGCCAGAGAUAGUUCCAAUAUAAAUUAUAAGCAUGAAAUGUGUGAUAUCCUAUUCAAUGAAUCCACAAAAAAAAAUGCAGCUUAGGUUUAACACAUGCGCUAAAACCAUAUUCUGAUAUGCUUUCAGGCAAUGCAACUCCACAAGGUAGCACAUAGGUUUCUAAGUAGGAUUAAGCGAUUAUUGGGGUUCAGUGAUGGUUUGAUCGACAUUGAUAAUUAAUUUGUCCCGUCAUUCUUGUGACACUUUGGGUUAUAAAUACUACCAAUAGUUGGUGGUUCUGUUGUAUUGCAGAUUGCUUAGUAAUGAAUGAAAUUUCAUUAUUUGUUCCCUCCCCACCCCAACCAAAAGAUAGAAAGAAAGUUGUCCCUUCAAUCAUCAGGGAGAGGACACCUACUAACCAUAGUUAUUAAGGCGAAA